CGACGUACGGACGAGAGAUCUGCGAGUGAUAAAUCUAGCCGUGUUAGUUUCUUCCGAUUCUUUCUCUUUUCUCGCAAUUUCUUCCCUAUGGAUGGAAAGGUUGAAACGUUAUUAAAACACUGGGGCUUUCCAGAUCUCAUAGAAGUCUUUGCAAAUUGAAUCUGAUUAUGCUGCACAAUUUGGAAACGUACUUUCUAUUUACAAUAAAUGGCCAGAAUUUUCACGAAAAAUUUAUACUCUUAUGCAGACUGAAAUUAAAGAUAGAAUAUAUGAAGAACAACUUGAACAAAUAAAUGAAAACAUAUCAGAAGAAGAAAAAAAUAUUAGACUUNUAAAAUUAUUGCCAGCAUUAUGUAUCCCAACAAUAAGAAUUCGUAAGGGUGCAAGAAGCAUCAANCCUACGAUAACUGACUCUAUAAAUUCUUUCAUUUUAUCAGUAAAUGAUCCGACUGAUCUUGAAAAUAGUAUUGCAUGUNAGAGAAAUAGAGCAGCUGCAUUAAAAUUAACUUUGCAACCAUUUAUUAUUUUUGUAGGACGUGACGCUAGCUCAGUCACCGCAUAUUAUGUUUGCAUUGAUAAUAUUUUAUAUAAAAUUGACAGUGCUCUCAAAGCUGUCGACUUAUGNUAUAAGUGCUUUUUUGUAUUGCAUGCCAGUUAUCC